AUUGAACGCUGGCGGCAGGCCUAACACAUGCAAGUCGAGCGGAGCGGCGGACGGGUGAGUAAUGCCUAGGAAUCUGCCUGGUAGUGGGGGAUAACGUACGGAAACGGGCGCUAAUACAGAAUAAUAUCAGAUGAGCCUAGGUAGGAUUAGCUAGUUGGUGGGGUAAAGGCCUACCAAGGCGACGAUCCGUACCUGGGUGGAGAGGAUGAUCAGUCACACUGGAACUGAGACACGGUCCAGACUCCUACGGGAUGGAGCAGUGGGGAAUAUUGGACAAUGGGCGAAAGCCUGAUCCAGCCAUGCCGCGUGUGUGAAGAAGGUCUUCGGAUUGUAAAGCACUUUAAGUUGGGAGGCGUUACCAACAGAAUAAGCACCGGCUAACUUCGUGCCAGCAGCCGCGGUAAUUC
rnacentral:rRNA from 1 species